rnacentral:rRNA from 2 species
GAGUAAUGUCUGGGAAACUGCCUGAUGGAGGGGGAUAACUACUGGAAACGGUGGCUAAUACCGCAUAACGUCGCAAGACCAAAGAGGGGGACCUUCGGGCCUCUUGCCAUCAGAUGUGCCCAGAUGGGAUUAGCUUGUUGGUGAGGUAACGGCUCACCAAGGCGACGAUCCCUAGCUGGUCUGAGAGGAUGACCAGCCACACUGGAACUGAGACACGGUCCAGACUCCUACGGGAGGCAGCAGUGGGGAAUAUUGCACAAUGGGCGCAAGCCUGAUGCAGCCAUGCCGCGUGUAUGAAGAAGGCCUUCGGGUUGUAAAGUACUUUCAGCGGGGAGGAAGGUGUUGUGGUUAAUAACCGCAGCAAUUGACGUUACCCGCAGAAGAAGCACCGGCUAACUCCGUGCCAGCAGCCGCGGUAAUACGGAGGGUGCAAGCGUUAAUCGGAAUUACUGGGCGUAAAGCGCACGCAGGCGGUCUGUCAAGUCGGAUGUGAAAUCCCCGGGCUCAACCUGGGAACUGCAUUCGAAACUGGCAGGCUUGAGUCUUGUAGAGGGGGGUAGAAUUCCAGGUGUAGCGGUGAAAUGCGUAGAGAUCUGGAGGAAUACCGGUGGCGAAGGCGGCCCCCUGGACAAAGACUGACGCUCAGGUGCGAAAGCGUGGGGAGCAAACAGGAUUAGAUACCCUGGUAGUCCACGCCGUAAACGAUGUCUACUUGGAGGUUGUGCCCUUGAGGCGUGGCUUCCGGAGCUAACGCGUUAAGUAGACCGCCUGGGGAGUACGGCCGCAAGGUUAAAACUCAAAUGAAUUGACGGGGGCCCGCACAAGCGGUGGAGCAUGUGGUUUAAUUCGAUGCAACGCGAAGAACCUUACCUGGUCUUGACAUCCACAGAACUUUCCAGAGAUGGAUUGGUGCCUUCGGGAACUGUGAGACAGGUGCUGCAUGGCUGUCGUCAGCUCGUGUUGUGAAAUGUUGGGUUAAGUCCCGCAACGAGCGCAACCCUUAUCCUUUGUUGCCAGCGGUUAGGCCGGGAACUCAAAGGAGACUGCCAGUGAUAAACUGGAGGAAGGUGGGGAUGACGUCAAGUCAUCAUGGCCCUUACGACCAGGGCUACACACGUGCUACAAUGGCGCAUACAAAGAGAAGCGACCUCGCGAGAGCAAGCGGACCUCAUAAAGUGCGUCGUAGUCCGGAUUGGAGUCUGCAACUCGACUCCAUGAAGUCGGAAUCGCUAGUAAUCGUGGAUCAGAAUGCCACGGUGAAUACGUUCCCGGGCCUUGUACACACCGCCCGUCACACCAUGGGAGUGGGUUGCAAAAGAAGUAGGUAGCUUAACCUUCGGGAGGGCGCUUACCACUUUGUGAUUCAUGACUGGGGUGAAGUCGUAACAAGGUAACCGUAGGGGAACCUGCGGUUGGAUCACCUCCUUACCUUAAAGAA